rnacentral:lncRNA from 1 species
AUCAUGUUACAAGCAGGUUGAUGAAGUACAGGGUUUGUACAGAUGCACCAAAUGUGACAACAGAAUAAUUCCAUACCCAGAAAAGAGGUACAACUAAAAAACACCUUGCCUAUUUACAACAUAUAUAUCCAUAUGCAGGUACAGGGUAAGUUCCCAUCAUAAUUCAAGAACAUGGAAAACGGAAAGUACACAGUCAAGCUACAGAUAAGGGAAUUCAAUAUCAAAGACAAGGAUGAAGUUUAUCUUGCAACGGACAUCUACGAAGGAUUUUCCAUCCUACCUCAGAUGAAACAAA